rnacentral:rRNA from 1 species
UACAGAGGUCUCAAGCGUUGUUCGGAUUCAUUGGGCGUAAAGGGUGCGUAGGUGGCGCCGUAAGUCAGGUGUGAAAUUUCGGAGCUUAACUCCGAAACUGCAUUUGAUACUGCGGUGCUUGAGGACUGGAGAGGAGACUGGAAUUCACGGUGUAGCAGUGAAAUGCGUAGAUAUCGUAAGGAAGACCAGUGGCGAAGGCGGGUCUCUGGGCCGAUACUGACGCUGAGGAGCGAAAGCGUGGGGAGCGAACAGG